rnacentral:lncRNA from 1 species
CUCAGAAGUAUCAGAUCGUAGAAUUAAUUUCAAAAUGUGAGAAUUAUCUACACGAUAAUCUAGCUGUUCAUAAUGCAUGUACAAUUUUCAGUAAUGCAAAAUGUUUCACAAUGGAUAAUCUUAAAAUUAAUGCACUAACAUUCAUAGCAGAUAAUGCGAUCGAAGUGUUGAAAAAUGACGAUUUUGUCAUGCUCCCGUCAGAAGACUUAGUCGAUAUUCUUAGGCUUGAUACUCUUUGUGUACAGGAAGUAGAUGUAGUCCGUGCAGUUCUCAAAUGGUCGGAUCAUAUUCUGACCGAGUCCAAUAACAAAAUCGACGGGAAAUCAAGAAGAACCGUUCUUCUUAAAGAUGGAAUUCUAUUUACUUUAGCAAUCCCUUUACUUUCCAUUGACGAUUACACGUCAGUCGUAAUACCAACUAGUAUUUUAACAGCCGAAGAGCAGCUACAAAUGUGUACAGCUACAUCAAAUGCGAGUGGAAAAUUUAGAGUACGUCCCAGAAAAGGAGGUAGGAUUGUAGAGGUGUUAGUUAACGAUAUAAGGAAUCCAAAUUCUUCGAAGAAUAUCGGCAUGAUGUGUCCGUCGUACACUUAUUUAAAACCUGAAACUUUAUCAGUAAAAACUAACAACAGAAUCAAAAUCAAAUCAAUUACCCUUAAACCACAAUUCAAACAACCAGACCAGAAUAAUUGCAAUUUCAAAGUUGGUAUUAAAACUGUUGACACACUACCUCAAACACCCUGGGCCGUACAAUUCUUCGAUGAUCAAGGAAUGCUAUAUAAGGAAAUCGAGGAAGACGCAUUGAAUGUAAAAUUUGAUGGCAGAGCUUGCAAACUUCCAAUUGACAGAGUUAUUCAACAAAAUGAGAUGUUAGUAUUGACAAUCGAACCCUAUCUUCCAAAUCAAAAUAUUGAUAUAUGUACAUCAAACCAACACAUGAUCAAUGAAGUACCAUUUACAUUCAGAGUAAUAAAUGGUAUGAUGUAUCAACACGAGAUAUCUAAAAAAACAACUGUAUACUUGUCACUUAGAGGUGUACA